rfam:Octopus bimaculoides Scaffold30687_contig_436, whole genome shotgun sequence.
UACUAUAUCUCUUAUAGUUUCACGUAUUUAUGCGGAUGUGCGUUCAAGAAGUCCCGUGAUUUGGGGUUCAGCCCCAUUGCACGGAACCUUGGGCAAGUACCUUCUUCGAUUUUCCAACGGUAAACGAUGCCGACUAGCAUUCUGCCAGCAUUCACUUCGAUGACCCGGUGGGGUGCCUGCGCGAGAAACCAUAGUCGGUUCCGGGGGAAAUAUGGUUGCAAAACAGAAACUUAAGGGUAUUGACGGAAGGGCAUUACCAGGAGUGAAGCUUGAGGUUUAAUUUGACUCACUACGGGAUAACUCACCCUGAUAAAUGGAAACUGCCGUAUACAUACAAACAAACAAGCAUACCUACAUAUACACAACUAUAUACACCGUCUCUCUAUCUCUUCAUAUAAAAGCCUACGCACGCACACACACACACACACACACAUACACACACAUAUAUACGACGUUUCCGUCUACCAAAUCCACUCACAAGGCUUUGGUCGGCUCGAGGCUAUAGUAGAAGACACUUGCCCAAUGUGCUACUCAGUGGGACUGAACCUGGAACCAUGUGGUUGGUAAACAAUCUACUUACCACGCAGCCACUCCUGCGCCUAUAUGCAUAUAUAUAUAUAUAUAUAUAUAUA